rnacentral:rRNA from 1 species
CCUCUGACAAUCCUAGAGAUAGGACGUCCCCUUCGGGGGCAGAGUGACAGGUGGUGCAUGGUUGUCGUCAGCUCGUGUCGUGAGAUGUUGGGUUAAGUCCCGCAACGAGCGCAACCCUUGAUCUUAGUUGCCAGCAUUCAGUUGGGCACUCUAAGGUGACUGCCGGUGACAAACCGGAGGAAGGUGGGGAUGACGUCAAAUCAUCAUGCCCCUUAUGACCUGGGCUACACACGUGCUACAAUGGACAGAACAAAGGGCAGCGAAACCGCGAGGUUAAGCCAAUCCCACAAAUCUGUUCUCAGUUCGGAUCGCAGUCUGCAACUCGACUGCGUGAAGCUGGAAUCGCUAGUAAUCGCGGAUCAGCAUGCCGCGGUGAAUACGUUCCCGGGCCUUGUACACACCGCCCGUCACACCACGAGAGUUUGUAACACCCGAAGUCGGUGAGGUAACCUUUUAGGAGCCAGCCGCCGAAGGUGGGACAGAUGAUUGGGGUGAAGUCGUAACAAGGUAGCCGUAUCGGAAGGUGCGGCUGGAUCACCUCCUUUCUA